rnacentral:lncRNA from 1 species
GCAGACGUUACUGGCCUUUCUUCCUGACACCCUGUCCUGUCAGCUGCGGGAGUCCGAGGUGGCUGAGAUUCACUGGCCCUGUGACCCCUGAGCCAAGGAGUUUCUUAAGAGAUUGUAGGAGCCCUGGACUCAGACAAGGAGUACAGUUAAGUAACAGCCUUGAGUCUGAGAAGACACUUUUGAGAAUGUGAAAGACUAUGGAAACUUUUGACUUUGGACUGAAUAUAUUUUACAUUGUGAGAUGACCACAAGCCUACUGUGUCCAGGAAGUGGAAUGUGCUGGUUUGAGCCUGAAGGAGACUUAGUGGACCACCUCCAGACUUGAAGCAUGUCACAACUCUACUCCCUGAUGAGAGAGCAGCGCUGUCUUUACAUUCCUGACUGGCAGGAGAGGAAACUUCCGUGUCCUGUAGGAGGGUGUACUCUCCGGAGCCAAUUGGGGCUGUGUAUUUCAACUUGAAAAAGACUGAUCGCCUGGCUGUGUGUCCACACUCAAAGACUGCACAUAACUGAGUCCUUUGCUUGGAUCUACAAGCUGAGAUCAAGGACAUGGCUGCACUCUUGUCGAAGGCUAUCAGUCACUGCCUAAGACCAUGGGGUGGACAGAAUGUGGGGCCGCAGAGCUGCAUCACCAGACUGUCUUCUCAGUCUGUCACCCGGGCUCUUCGCAGCUCCAGGAGUGUCACCACUGUAAGGCCAGCAGGAGCAUCUCCAUGGAGUUUUAGGGAAUGUGAUAAUUGAGGAUGACUGUUCCACCAUCCUGGCCAUCAUGAGUGAGCCUCAUCAAAGCAGCUCCUCCAGGACAUGCAACACAGCGCAGAUCCUUCUGAAAUUUCCCCAGCAGCUCCUCCAGGACAUGCAACACAGCGCAGAUCCUUCACAACCUGGACUAUGACUUUCUCUCCUAUACGCGAUGGCUUGGACGCUCUGCCUCAUCAUGAAAGCUGGUCUCUGUUCAGGAUCUUUGUACACCUAUUUCUUCUGCCUAAAACUUACUUUAGGCCUUCACAUUGAGAUGUUAAAUACCUAGCUCUUUGGUAUAAUGGACCAUAGGGGACAAUUAAAUAUAUCUAAACAUCUCU